UGUAAAAAUGUUCCGAUGUAUCAACCUCAUAUGCAACAGGUCUAGAUGGAGGUUUAUCAGGCGGAACCUCAACAAUUCCCGGGGCACAGAUACCUAGCACAAGCUCUCGUUUGCCCGCCAUAACUACAUAAAAUAAGAGGGAUAAACACAUAAUUAGCCACAUAUAAUACUUAAUACAUAUAAAACUGGUAGCACAUUCUAUAAUCCAUAACAGCCAAGGCAAUGCAAUGCAAUGCAAGCAAAACAGACAGUCAAGGCAAGUAAAGACAGUGCAAAAAUUAAAGUUCCAGUAAUUUCGGUUAGUAUCAACCGAACGAAUCCUUCGGUUAGGCUUGGCAAGCAAACACGUUUAAACCAACACAAAACCAAAAGUUCCAGUAAUUUCGAUUCGUAUUAACCGAAGGAUUCCUUCGAUUUCUAUAAAUCAGAAAUCGAAGGAUUUUGUGUCAGAAACCUACCAACCUAGCAUAUAUGACAGUUGAAAAUAAAAGAAAUUAAACGGAAGAUUACCUUAAUAUUGUGCUUCAAAUCGCCUUCCAACCCUUAGCAAACGUUCCAAACUUGAUUUUAAGUAGCGAUUUGAGUGAAAAACGGAUUGGAUUUUGGGAUCUCUUUU
rnacentral:lncRNA from 1 species